UACGUAGGGACCGAGCUUUGUCCGGAUUCAUUGGGCGUAAAGAGCUCGUAGGCGGCUGCUCAAGUCGAAUGUGAAAACUCGAGGCUCAACCUCGAGCCUGCAUUCGAUACUGGGCGGCUAGAGUCUGGUAGGGGGAUCUGGAAUUCCUGGUGUAGCGGUGGAAUGCGCAGAUAUCAGGAGGAACACCGAUGGCGAAGGCAGCUCGCUGGGACGGUACUGACGCUGAGGCGCGAAAGCGUGGGGAGCAAACAGG
rnacentral:rRNA from 1 species